GCGGUGUUUGGCACCUCGAUGUCGGCUCAUCACAUCCUGGGGCUGAAGCCGGUCCCAAGGGUAUGGCUGUUCGCCAUUUAAAGUGGUACGCGAGCUGGGUUUAGAACGUCGUGAGACAGUUCGGUCCCUAUCUGCCGUGGGCGUUGGAGAUUUGAGGAGAGUUGUUCCUAGUACGAGAGGACCGGAAUGAACGAACCUCUGGUGUUCGGGUUGUCACGCCAGUGGCAUUGCCCGGUAGCUAUGUUCGGACAGGAUAACCGCUGAAAGCAUCUAAGCGGGAAGCCCCCUUCAAGAUUAGAUCUCCCUGAGGACUUGAUCCUCCUAAAGGACCGUCGAAGACUACGACGUUGAUAGGCUGGGUGUGGAAGCGUUGUGAGGCGUUAAGCUAACCAGUACUAAUUGUCCGUGAGGCUUGACCAUAUAACCCUA
rnacentral:rRNA from 1 species